rnacentral:rRNA from 1 species
CCACGCUUUCGCACCUGAGCGUCAGUCUUCUGUCCAGGGGGCCGCCUUCGCCACCGGUAUUCCUCCAGAUCUCUACGCAUUUCACCGCUACACCUGGAAUUCUACCCCCCUCUACAAGACUCNAGCNUGCCAGUAUCAAAUGCAGUUCCCAGGUUGAGCCCGGGGAUUUCACAUCNGACUUGACAGACCGCCUGCGUGCGCUUUACGCCCAGUAAUUCCGAUUAACGCUUGCACCCUCCGUAUUACCGCGGCUGCUGGCACGGAGUUAGCCGGUGCUUCUUCUGCGGGUAACGUCAAUNNNUGAAGGUAUUAACUNNANUNCCUUCCUCCCCGCUGAAAGUACUUUACAACCCGAAGGCCUUCUUCAUACACGCGGCAUGGCUGCAUCAGGCUUGCGCCCAUUGUGCAAUAUUCCCCACUGCUGCCUCCCGUAGGAGUCUGGACCGUGUCUCAGUUCCAGUGUGGCUGGUCAUCCUCUCAGACCAGCUAGGGAUCGUCGCCUAGGUGAGCCGUUACCCCACCUACUAGCUAAUCCCAUCUGGGCACAUCUGAUGGCAAGAGGCCCGAAGGUCCCCCUCUUUGGUCUUGCGACGUUAUGCGGUAUUAGCUACCGUUUCCAGUAGUUAUCCCCCUCCAUCAGGCAGUUUCCCAGACAUUACUCACCCGUCCGCCACUCGUCACCAGAGAGCAAGCUCUCUGCGUG